AGCAAAGGUAACCAUGCUAUAAAAGGCUUAAUUAUUGACCAGAUUCCAAAACCUCUGCAUUCCACAAUCCCCAAACCCUUAUAAAUACAGGGGCUCUCCAUCCCUAAGGGACCUUCACCUCCAUCUCCCACAGAGUCUUGCCUUGGCAAUGAUGGACAGACCCCCACAGACCUUCAGCCAUGAAAAUCCUUUAUUUGCUCUUUGCUGUUCUCUUCUUCCUCUUCCAGGGUGCUCCAGGGAAUGCUGAUUUCUUGGAUAAUCUCAACUACAGAAGUAACUUUGGCUUCUGCCACUCGGGGGACUGCCCCAUCUCCACCACACUCAUUGGAACCUGCAUCUACGGAAAGAUCAACUGCUGCAAACGGCCAACAGCCCCCUGAUCUGCAGAAAUCCACAAGGCAUGAGUGAGCAGCAGCCUCAAGAGGAAAUGUCUCCCUUCAAUAAAAAUAAGCUAUUGUGAAAUCCAA